rnacentral:rRNA from 1 species
UACGGGGGGGGGCAAGCGUUGUUCGGAAUUACUGGGCGUAAAGGGCGCGUAGGCGGUUUGCUAAGUUGGAUGUGAAAACUCUGGGCUUAACUCAGAGCCUGCAUCCAAAACUGGCAAACUUGAGUACUGGAGGGGAAAGCGGAAUUCCUGGUGUAGCGGUGAAAUGCGUAGAUAUCAGGAGGAACACCGGUGGCGAAGGCGGCUUUCUGGACAGUAACUGACGCUGAGGCGCGAAAGCUAGGGGAGCAAACAGG